GUGCUCACUUCGGCCGCUCCUAUACUAAGAUGGGAGCAAUGCAGAGAAGAUUACCAUGGCCCAUGCACAUGGAUGACAUGAAAAGUCAUGAAGCAAAAAUUCAUUUU
rnacentral:snRNA from 1 species